rnacentral:tRNA from 1 species
ACUAAUAUGGCAGAGAAGUGCAAUGAAUUUAAGCUUCAUUUAUAAAGAUUACCCUCUUUUUUUAGUA